AUUUCAAGCAGGCAAUUGGUGUCUUAGAUUAGAAGGUGAACACGGAGGAAUGAAUGAAUGUAAACGGGGCGGCCUUUCUCGGCCCUUGCACCGCGACCAACAGUGGUCUAUCAACCCGCGGGAAACUUACGUUUUAAUAGUUGCUCACACCAUCUUAGGAACAGUCUCGAAGGUGCAACUUCUUCUUGUGCUUGUAGGCUGUUGGUGUGCUACAUGGUCACUUUUUUUUUCCAAUAAAUGUUACUUCUAUGACAUGUUUCAACUUUAUACGGUCAUCAUCAGUAUCAAGACUGCACAGUGUCAAAUGAUAAACUGAAGAAGAUUUGGAAGGAAGCUAUCAUGGUUAAACUGAAGUACUACCCUGGUAUGUGCCUGGAGGAACUAAGGAAAACUGUAAUACAUCUCAAUAAGGACAGCUGGUGUCCUGGCUGAGAUUUGAACCCAGCACCUCCUCAAUACAGGUCUACAGCAUUACCAAUAGACCAGCCUGUUCAGUACAGUGAUGCCAUCUAGCUACUAGCAACCACAGUGCUACUCUUAUUAUAAAAUUUGCCCCCGUACCUUACCUACAUCAGAUAGUAAUACGUGUGAAGACAUUUAAUAAUUUUCCUCACUCACCAUAUCAUACAUGUGCUGCCCUUUUGUGAUUUUUUUGGUCACCUAUAGACCAUUUGCUAAUCAGUACUUUACUGUGAAAUAAAGCAAAGCACUAGUGUACCCCCAUAAAAAAUAGGGGACUGGGUGGUAAGCCUAUAGCAAAGUUACUGGGUGUGGACAUGUUAAAUUAUAAUUUAAUAAUAUGGAUAAUAAUUAUUAUCCAUGUCUGGGAAAUAUCAUAACUAUUUCCAUUCCAUGCUUUUUUUUUUCUACAUAAUGUAACCAGUCACAAUUAUAAAUUAAUAACUAUGUAACAUAAUGACCCAUCUGACAAUGUAGUUGCCAUAAAUCUAGCAUGACAGGAGUAGGAACUGUACAUUGUAUAAUACAUCUGAAGCUGAAUAACUUGAUAAAAAAUAGAUUUGUAUCUGCAAUAAAUAAAUAUGAAG